GUUGGAGUUUGCGCUUGCGCAAAAAUGUCGGGAAAGCGGGAGAAGAGGGGUUAAGAGGCGGUAUUGACAGCUGUGGAGGCAGCCCGCGUUCCCGGCAUGCCCCGGGGCGGCGGGGUUGGCUCUAACGAAUUUGAAUGAGGAGCUUCAGCGCUUUCGGCGCCAUUUUCGAGUGAUGCCUGAUCUCAUCAAUCUAGCGGGAGAGACAAGCUAACCUGUCCGAGAGUAUAGCGCCACUAGGACUCCGCCGGAAAAAUUACUUUAAAAAUCGCCAAAAAUUAGUUGAAGCAAAGGGCAGUCGGCGGAGCUUCGCCAAGAUUGGCGCAGUCGGUUUUGACCUGUAGGAGAGAACCAAUUCUGGAGAACAACCUCACUUCUUUGAUUGAAUACUCACGUAAUGCAUUGGAACAUGACACAAGAUUAAGGUAUACUAAUGAAUUUUAAAGCCAUAUAAUUUUAUGUCUUUGCAAUAUAAUCAGACUAGACAAUAUGUAAAGCUGAAACCUACGUGAACUAAAAUCAAAUAAUUACUAAUAAACAGAAUUCAUCAUGUGAAGUGGCCAUAGCUGAGCUGUCUUGCUUAUUAAAACUCCAGAUUUUUUUUAUACAGUUGAUCUUCUCAUCAUCCUAAGAUCCAACUCCAGCUGAAUUUAUUUAUUCCAAAAAUAAGUAUAUGUAGUAGUUUUUAUUUUCUUAAGGUUGUUACUGCAGUGUACUCAGUAAAAUUAUGAACUUUUCAUCUUGUAAAAUGGAGAGUUUACAUCAAAUGGAAUUUGGUGCUUGGCUCUUUGACAGGUGGUAGAGUAUUAGAUAGAGCCUACAAAAUUAGGUCAGAUUGAUGAGAAUAUUUUAAGCAAAUUUAAUGUAUUCCAAGUACUAUCCUAACCAAAAGUGGCAAUGUGGUUGAAACUGAAAAACCCACUUUCUUAAGCAGAAAUUACUAGUAUCUUACUUAGAUACGCUGAGUAAAAUAUUUUGUUAAUAUCAAAAGUUGCAGACUCUAAAAAUGAAAUUAUAGAAUCCCUAAACCUUCAGUGAUUUUUAUAGUUUUAGUUGAAAAUUUCAGAUAGUGUUUAACUAAUACAACUUUUGUUUUCUAAAUGGUAAUCUGGUAUAGUGAAAAUGAACUUAUUGAACAGUAUUACUAAGUAUUAUUUGGUUAAUUCUUUCAUAGUAAAGUAUUAAUCUUAUGUAUACAUAUAUUUGUGUACAUUUAUUUAGAAACUAUUUGCUAAAGUAAGGUUUAGUAACAGUACAAUUUUUUAUUUUUUUUACCUAAAAAAUAUUUGUAUACUUCGAGGAAAUGUCAAAGGUUUGUUUUUAUGAUGAAAUUAUUUAGCCUUAAGAAUGAAGUAUAUUGUCAUGAUCAUAGAACUGCUUUUAACUUCCAACAAUGUAAAAUUUUUAAAGAUGAAUUCCGAGAUGUGUUUAAGAGUCAGUGUUGAAAUACACAGCAAAAUACUAAAAACUGAAAUUUGAUAUUUCUAUAUUGUUGUAUAUUAGGUAGAUAAUCCAAGAAUGAAUCUAUUAACAGUUGACGUUAAAUAAAAUGGAAAGAUGUUUAGAAAUCAGAGUUUAAUAUAAGGAUGAAGUUUACUUUUAUAUCGGUGUCAUACUGUAAGGUGGUUGAAAUAAAUAUAAGGUAUAGAAUGUCUUCAUAUGUUUGAGAUUUUUGUGAAAAAGCAGCUUAGUUUGAAUAGGAUGAAAAUAAAUAACAGUUUUUUUUUUUUUUUUUUCAAGUAUUUCUCAGGUUAGAGAAUAUUAAGAUGAAAAGUGGAAAAUAUGGUUACCUUAGUGUCUGGGAAAAAAAUCCGGGUUCAAUUUAUCACUUUCAUUGCAGGUAUCUUUAGAAGCAGCCUUAAUGAGUUAAAUAGGAAAAGAGAGGCAGCAUUUGAUUUUAUAUUGUAGAUAAGAUAUAAAUCCACAGAGUUGUUCCUAAUUUAGAGAGUUUAUGAUUUGUGAUCUUUGAAGAUAGCAAAACUUAUUUAUAUUUAGCAUCAUAUAGUUGUUCUCCCUAUAGUUAAUGUACUGGGUUAUAAACUUCUGAUAAUGUAGCUUAGUAAAUAAUUUGGUAUCUAAAAGAAUCAGUACAAAUAUUAACAGUUAACUUGCAUUUGGUCAAUUCUUACAAGAUGAGAAACUUUAACCUAAUUAGGAGUAUGUGUUAUUUUAGGAGGCCAAUUAACAAAAACUUCAACUGCUGUGUAUGAUUGGCUCUUUUUUAACUACCCCUUGAAGGGGGCAGUUAAAAGACAUUUUGUAAAGAUUUUGAUUGUUUUAAAUUUGCAGACCUGAUUAUCUAAAUCUAAACCUUGAUAUGUGGUUAAUCAUGUCAGAAUUUGGGGGAAGAGAUUUAUUGUGUUAAUUUUUAUCUUUCUUUCAGUGAUUUGUAUCUAAUUUGUUCAGUAUUUAUGUUUUUGGCUAAAUGCAUAAUCAGGGUUAAAUAACAUUCACUUUUGGGAAAAAUUCUUAGGUGUCCCUAAAAUCCAGUUAUAUCAUCAUUGUUCCUGUCUUACUGAAAUAGUUUUUUUUAAGGAUAGAAAGAAUAUUUGAAUAAACCAGAAUACAGAUAACAUAUCUACAUAUGAAGGAAGUUAAAAUUAUUAUUUGUCAGAGAUGUGUAAUGCUAGUUUAUAAGGAUAUGUAUGUUACAUUUUAGGCAGUUUGUCAGCUAUGACAAUUUUCCUUAAUAGAGGUUUUAUAUAUUGCUGAGUAUUUGUUAAAUAAUAGAUACAGUUAACUUUUUAAAUAAAAGUUUUAAAAUAUUUAUUUGAAGCAAUUUUGUAUAUGUGUGUAUUUUGUGUUUUUUCUUAAACUAGCAAAUAACAUCCUUAACCUAUUUCAGUUGUCUUUCUUCAAAUAAGACCUAAUGUAUUAGAAUUAUAUUUUCUGAUAAGCAUUUUUCAAAGGGUAAGCAUUUUUCAAAGCAUUUUUCAGAGGGUUCUAAAUUUAUAUUAAAUAUGUUUUGAAGUGAAAUUUCUAUUCACAGCACCACAAACCACGGUUUUGAUACUUCAUUAACAUAUAUUAUUUGACUUAGUUUUACUUUCCUAUUUUCAUGGUUAGAGUCUUGGAAGAGAAACAUGAAGCAUGUUUCACAUGUGGCUGCUGAGACUGAUUAAUCCCACUGGUUUAAUAAUGAUAGAAUGAAGACCAUAAUAAAAGAGACCUCUACUUAGUCAGCAAUUCUUACCUUUCUUACCUACUUGAUGAAGAUGUCUUUUGAAAGGUGUACUGCAGGGGACAAAAUGUUUGUAAAUUCUGCUUUUACCAAGGUGGAUAAUUACUGUACCUUCCUCAUGGAAAAAGUUUUAUUUUAAGUGUUAUUUCUCAUUGAAUACUAUCAAAAAGGAAAAAAAUGACCUAAACUUUUGAGAUAGAUUUGGCUCUAGUAAGUAUUUAGAUAUAUCACUUGCAUAUCUGGGAGAAGAAAUAAGAGGCUAUCAUCAAUACAUUCCUAUCUACUAAAAAAUUUUGUUUUACAUAUGUCAAAGGAUUACUUAUAACUUCCAUUUUAUUACUAAUAACUUGAACACUUUUAUUGAAAAACUAACUCCUCCACUGGAAAUUUAGCUUUAUGUUCUUAUCUGCUUUGCAUAUAAAAUACAUUGCAGGUAUUUCUGAUGCCUUUCUUUUUUUUAAGCCUAUAUGCAAUGAAAAAUAUAUUGGCAAAAUAAAUGUUUAAAUGUUUUAUGGUAAAAUUACUGUGAAACAUGACAAGUUAGCUGCUGUUUUUGUUUACAUUAUACUGAAAUUAAAUGUUCAUAAUUUAUAUUUGGGUUUAUUUUUAUAAUAUCAGGGAAUUUAUGCAAAAACAUUGAGUAGUACAGAUUCUUCUCUAAUUCUGUGAGACUUUGAAUAACGUGAUAUUGUAAUUGGACCCCUGUGUUUUGAAGAAAUGCCAACUGCUUGAAGAAUCUUACUUGUAUUAUUUGCUACAGGGUUAGAUGUUGAGAAAUGCUGCUGAAAAAAAAUUUUAAGCUAGUUCUACACUAAAUAUUCCUCGGUGUGAUUAAUUUCUUAUUGAAUAUAUUCUGUGUCUUUCUUUUGUAAUCUGUAACUUUUAUCCACUUAGCAUGAAUGAUUCUAUUAAAGAAAAUCUUUAGGAAGUGGUAGCAGCUUGAAAUCGCCCCAUAGCUUGCCUGUUUCUACAUUUUAUUAUAAUCUUUGGGAGUGCUUACACUUAUAGAGCUAACAUUUUCAGAGAUACAGGUUCUCAUAGUACCACUAAAACUUUUUUCCUCCUUGAACUGAAUUCCUAUGAUAAUAACUAUAGGGUAGUUUUUUUAAGUUUCCAUGCGAAUAGUCAAAAAUGCCAUUUUAGUAUGAAGCAAUGAAGUCUAGUAUUUGUUGUACCAUAGUUGAGAAAGCUUAAAUACAUCUUUUAUUAAGAGUUCAUAAAUUCUAGCGGAGUCUACACAGAUUUUUAUGCCAAUUUGUUUAUAUUUUUAUUAAUGUCAUUUCUAGAAGUGUGAAAAUGUUAAUGUUUGACAAGCAACAUUAAAAAUAGAUUUGAAACA